rnacentral:rRNA from 1 species
UGGCAAGCGUUAUCCGGAUUUAUUGGGCGUAAAGGGAGCGCAGGCGGCGCGGCAAGUCUGAUGUGAAAGCCCGGGGCUCAACCCCGGGUCUGCAUUGGAAACUGUCGAGCUAGAGUGUCGGAGGGGUAAGCGGAAUUCCUAGUGUAGCGGUGAAAUGCGUAGAUAUUAGGAGGAACACCAGUGGCGAAGGCGGCUUACUGGACGAUGACUGACGCUGAGGCUCGAAAGCGUGGGGUGCAAACA